UGUCAAUCCGGCGUAUUCAGCUAUGGAGCAUGCGCACAGCUCGUUGUGAUUGUGAGCAUGCGUACUGGGAGGGAUAUCCGGAAUGAAGGGGUUCUCCCUCAGAGCCACAAGCGAACGUUCAACAACUUGAAAACUGGAUUGAAAAUGAGAGACAGAGCAGCCACUGCAGAAGCUUCCAAAAUCACUCUGCACCUUCUUGAACUGCUGCAAUCGGUGUCGUGAAGUAGGUCCCAUGUUGCAAUUUGUUACUUACUACAAAACAGGAUGCUGUUCAGUUUCUGACAAAGUUCUGAGUCCUCUAAUUUCAACAGGACUGCCACUUCCAUACUAUCUUCACAGCUUCUCUACCCCACCAUCAGCUCACAGCUGGAGACUUGAAUUUAUAGAAGUAAACAUUUAUCUACCUGCUCAUAGGUAUGCAGACACUACCCUGAAGCUUCCUGCCCAGCUAGGAAUUCAGUGUAACGCUUUUGUAACUCCUUAUCUUCUCACACAUCGGUAUGCAGAUACUGUCUUAAGCUUCCUGACUGAAUUAAAAUUAGAACCAAACUGUUUGAAAUAGUGUUAGGUGGAGAAAUUUUGUAAAGGUGUGUAACCUCUGAAGCAUGUAACUUCUGUCGCUGGCAAAUGGGCCAGGGCACUGACUUUGUUCUUGCCAAACACACUGGCAACUUGAAAUCACAGUCUGUCCCGGACAACAACUCGAAAUCGCCUCCUGCCAUUAGCAGGUGCUUCACAAGCAAGCGAUACUAUAUCCUGGAUUUUAUGUUGUUGAUGUAAUAAUUGCUUGGUAUCCUGUUUUUGUCUGUUGUAGUAAUUGUUUCAUGUAUCAUGUCAUUGUAAGUUGUGAAAUCAUUUUAUGUAUCAUAUCUUUUGUAAAGUAUAAAAAGCGGGGACUGUCCGCUGCUCGGGGAAAAUACUUGCAAGACUCUGAACUCUGAGUACAGUGAUUCUCCACAGCUUGUACUUGCUUGGUAAUAAACGGAUUUGUGUUUUUCUAAA